rnacentral:rRNA from 1 species
UACGGGGGGUGCAAGCGUUGUUCGGAUUUAUUGGGCGUAAAGGGCGUGCAGGCGGUCAGGUAAGUGAGAUGUGAAAUGCCCCGGCUCACCCGGGGACCGGCAUCUCAUACUGCUUGGCUUGAGUACGGGAGAGGAUGUGGGAAUUCCUGGUGUAGCGGUGAAAUGCGUAGAUAUCAGGAGGAACACCGGUGGCGAAGGCAGCUCGCUGGGACGGUACUGACGCUGAGGCGCGAAAGCGUGGGGAGCAAACAGG